CAGAGGGUGCGAGCGUUGUCCGGAAUCACUGGGCGUAAAGGGCGCGUAGGUGGCGACCCAAGUCGAUGGUGAAAGCUCGCCGCUCAACGGCGAGUCGGCCACCGAUACUGGGUUGCUUGAGCACUGUAGAGGCUAAUGGAAUUCCGGGUGUAGCGGUGGAAUGCGUAGAGAUCCGGAAGAACACCGGUGGCGAAGGCGGUUAGCUGGGCAGUUGCUGACACUGAGGCGCGACAGCGUGGGGAGCAAACAGGAUUAGAUACCCUGGUAGUCCACGCCGUAAACGAUGGGCACUAGAUGCUUGGGGGAGCGACCCCCUGAGUGUCGUCGCUAACGCAUUAAGUGCCCCGCCUGGGGAGUACGGCCGCAAGGCUG
rnacentral:rRNA from 1 species